GGCGGCGGCGGCGGGAUUGCGUCUCACCGUCUUGGCCUGGCGGACGCGCAUGGCGGUGUCCAGGUGCUCGGCGAGCAGGCGGUCGUCGGAAAAAUCAAGCUUCAUUAUUCAUCAGGAUGUUGGAGGUGUGUUGCUACUGUGAGAAGCCAACGUAUGUCUGGGACCAUCAGAAUAAACUGCUACUACAAUCAAAAUCGACGUCUGAGAUCCAUUAAACGGUUUGAGACUCUGCUGAAGGACAAUGCAACGAAGACAAGACCCUUCUUGUCUCUCAUGGACACACACCUGUUGUUGUUGACUUUGGACUUAUCGGCUGCAUGACAUCAAGGCCGCGGAACAGAGACACGCGGCAGGCUUACACACACACGCAUCCACAAAAAUAUACGCCACACAUACACAGCCCAGCCCCUAAAUCCAACCCCUUCGAUGCAAAUUCCAUAGGGGUGAUGGAAGGAUGGUCAGCGCCUAAUAGCUGCGGCCUGCCACCAUGACCACUCACUCCCUCCCCUCUGUUGCUAGAUAUCUCGAGAUGUAUGUUGUAAUAUGUACAGUAUAUGCUAUAUAAAAAAACAUUGAUUGAUUGAUUGAUAGAUAUGUGCUUUGCUAUGGAGUUUUUUUUCCCAUUACAGACUAGGCCCCCUUAGGAGCCCAGUCAAGAUUUUAUUGUUUUACUCAUCCUUCCCCAGCAUUUAACUUUGUCCCCAUCUUUUACGGGACGCCUUGUUGUGACCCAUCAGCGUUCCUGUUCUGUAACCCUGUACACCAGGCCUGGGCAAUUAUUUUCACUCGGGGGCCAAAUUUAGAGAAAAAAAUGUGUCUGGGGGCCGGUAUAUCUAUUUUUGGGAAAACUAAUAUAAAACCUCACAAUAAAGUCUGAUUGAAUGCUCCUUAAAAACGGAAUGGAAUUUAGAAUGUUUCUAUGAACGAUAAAAUCCUGAAUAUUGCCAACAUAUGAACGUCACACCCCUCUCAAUCGACAUAUUUUACAAUCAAGCCAAAUGCAACAGACAGCGAAAUAUGAACGC